CCAGCACCCGCGGUAAUUCCAGCUCCAAUAGCGUAUAUUAAAGUUGUUGCCGUUAAAAAGCUCGUAGUCGAACUUCGGCCCCUGCCGCCCGGUCCGCCUAUUUGGGUGUGUACUGGAGCGGUGGGGGCUUACCUCGUGGUGAGCGGCCAUGUCCUUUACUGGGCGUGGUCGGGAACCAUGACAUUUACUUUGAAAAAAUUAGAGUGUUCAAAGCAGGCUUACGCCCGAAUACAUUAGCAUGGAAUAAUAAAAUAGGACGUGCGGUCCUAUUUUGUUGGUUUCUAGGAUCGCCGUAAUGAUUAAUAGGGAUAGUUGGGGGCAUUCGUAUUCAAUUGCUAGAGGUGAAAUUC
rnacentral:rRNA from 1 species